CGUGUAGGCGGUUUUGCAAGUCGGAGGUGAAAAUUCUCGGCUCAACCGGGAACCUGCCUUUGAAACUGCAGAGCUUGAGGACGUGAGAGGAGACUGGAAUUCCUAGUGUAGCGGUGAAAUGCAUAGAUAUUAGGAAGAACACCAGUGGCGAAGGCGAGUCUCUGGCACGAUCCUGACGCUGAGGCGCGAAAGCUAGGGGAGCGAACG
rnacentral:rRNA from 1 species